AUUGAACGCUGGCGGCAUGCCUUACACAUGCAAGUCGAACGGUAACAGGUCUUCGGAUGCUGACGAGUGGCGAACGGGUGAGUAAUACAUCGGAACGUGCCCGAUCGUGGGGGAUAACGGAGCGAAAGCUUUGCUAAUACCGCAUACGAUCUACGGAUGAAAGCAGGGGACCGCAAGGCCUUGCGCGGACGGAGCGGCCGAUGGCAGAUUAGGUAGUUGGUGGGAUAAAAGCUUACCAAGCCGACGAUCUGUAGCUGGUCUGAGAGGACGACCAGCCAAACUGGGACUGAGACACGGCCAAGACUCCUGCGGGAGGGAGCAGUGGGGAAUUUUGGACAAUGGGCGCAAGCCUGAUCCAGCCAUGCCGCGUGCAGGAUGAAGGCCUUCGGGUUGUAAACUGCUUUUGUACGGAACGAAAAGACUCUGGUUAAUACCUGGGGUCCAUGACGGUACCGUAAGAAUAAGCACCGGCUAACUACGUGCCAGCCGCCGCAGUAAGAC
rnacentral:rRNA from 1 species